GAAGAAAAAAAUUUUAUUUGCAUGUAAUAUUAUUUUAAUGAAAAAUGUGAGAUUGAAAAUGAGUACUGUAGAAAAAAUAAUUGUUGAUAAACAAGGGCUAAAUCUUUUUGCUCGGAAUGGUUAUCGCACAAGCCAAAUGGUUACGAUCAUACAAGCCAGGUACAAUAUUUUCCUUUGCUACAUUUUGGUCCCUGACUUUUAUCCAGCCUAGAGUCCUUUUUUAAUUUUAUCCAUAGCCAUUCAUUUUUAAAUCUUUACGUUUUGGUCUCCCACAUUCCUCAAUCGUCCAUAAUCUGAUACAAAUCUGAAAGUUUACAAUUAAGUCCCUAAACUUUUCAAAUGUUGGGUUCCGCCUUUGAAACUUGUGAAUCUCUUCUGAUUGAUCUCUUAAAUUCUUAAUAUUUCAUAAUGACCACUGCAAUCCAGUUGAUUAUCAAUUGUUCUGAAUCAA
rnacentral:lncRNA from 1 species